GAGAAAGUAAGACAGCUGGGGGAGGGAGAGAGGAUUUUGGAACUGGGAGGAACUGAAGGAAAUUAAUCUGGGGGAUAUAGAGUGUUGAGGAGAGAAGUAGAUGAAACUGGAAAGAGGAAGAUGAAGCUGGAAAGGAAAGAGGGAGCUGGAGACGAAAAAACGGGAGCUGGGGUGAGAGAGUGAUGGAGCUGGGGAUAGGAGCUUGGUAAGAUAAAGAUAAGCUUAC